GUCCAGCCGUAAACGUUGGCACAGGGUGGGGACCAUUCACGGUUUCCGCGCCGCAGCUAACGCUUAAGUGCCCGCCUGGGGAGUACGGCCGCAAGGUAAAACUCAAAGGAAUUGACGGGGGCCCGCACAAGCGGCGGAGCUGCGGAUAAUUCGAUGCAACGCGAAGAACCUUACCAAGGCUUGACAUGUUCUCGAUCGCCGUAGAGAUACGGUUUCCCCUUUGGGGCGGGUUCACAGGUGGUGCAUGGUGUCGUCAGCUCGUGUCGUGAGAUGUUGGGUUAAGUCCCGCAACGAGCGCAACCCUCGUUCCAUGUUGCCAGCACGUAAUGGUGGGGACUCAUGGGAGACUGCCGGGGUCAACUCGGAGGAAGGUGAGGACGACGUCAAAUCAUCAUGCCCCUUAUGUCUUGGGCUUCACGCAUGCUACAAUGGCCGGUACAAUGGGUUGCGAUACUGUGAGGUGGAGCUAAUCCCAAAAAGCCGGUCUCAGUUCGGAUUGGGGUCUGCAACUCGACCCCAUGAAGUGGAGUCGCUAGUAAUCGCAGAUCAGCAACGCUGCGGUGAAUACGUUCCCGGGCCUUGUACACACCGCCCGUCAAGUCACGAAAGUUGGUAACACCCGAAGCCGGUGGCCUAACCCUUGUGGGGGGAGCCGUCGAAGGUGGGACCAGCGAUUG
rnacentral:rRNA from 1 species